rnacentral:lncRNA from 1 species
UCAACUGAUCAAUGUACCGUACAAGUCUGAUAGAUUCGGCCUGGGGUUUAACUCUGAGAAGAUAGUCAAAGAUCAGAUUAAUGCUAUAGAAGAUGCUGACAGCGACUGCGACCUGGAUAGCUGGGUUUACCCAACAAUUGGUGACGGACUCAAUAAUUGGAAGGCUGAAGACACUAUCCCGAUUUCCUUUAGUCAGGAGUAAUUGUUAUUGUCUGUUUUAGUGUUGCAAUUUUUU